GAUGAACGCUGGCGGCGUGCCUAAUACAUGCAAGUCGAGCGAACAGAUGAGGAGCUUGCUCCUCUGACGUUAGCGGCGGACGGGUGAGUAACACGUAGAUAACCUACCUAUAAGACUGGGAUAACUUCGGGAAACCGGAGCUAAUACCGGAUAAUAUAUUGAACCGCAUGGUUCAAUAGUGAAAGACGGUUUUGCUGUCACUUAUAGAUGGAUCCGCGCCGCAUUAGCUAGUUGGUAAGGUAACGGCUUACCAAGGCAACGAUGCGUAGCCGACCUGAGAGGGUGAUCGGCCACACUGGAACUGAGACACGGUCCAGACUCCUACGGGAGGCAGCAGUAGGGAAUCUUCCGCAAUGGGCGAAAGCCUGACGGAGCAACGCCGCGUGAGUGAUGAAGGCCUUCGGAUCGUAAAACUCUGUUAUUAGGGAGGAACAAAUGUGUAAGUAACUAUGCACGUCUUGACGGUACCUAAUCAGAAAGCCACGGCUAACUACGUG
rnacentral:rRNA from 1 species